UACGAAGGGGGCUAGCGUUGCUCGGAAUCACUGGGCGUAAAGCGCGCGUAGGCGGAUUGUUAAGUCAGGGGUGAAAUCCUGGAGCUCAACUCCAGAACUGCCUUUGAUACUGGCGAUCUCGAGUCCGGGAGAGGUGAGUGGAACUGCGAGUGUAGAGGUGAAAUUCGUAGAUAUUCGCAAGAACACCAGUGGCGAAGGCGGCUCACUGGCCCGGUACUGACGCUGAGGUGCGAAAGCGUGGGGAGCAACAGGG
rnacentral:rRNA from 1 species